UGGACAGAGACAGAGCAGGACAGGGGAUCGGAGACAGAGUGGGACGUGGAGGCGGAGAGACAGAGCGGGCGGGAGGAACCUGGAAGAUCUGCGGACAGACAGGCGCCAGCCGCUGGGUGCUGCCCCAUCAGAGGGCAGGCGGUGGGGGGGUGGGGGCGGGGGGUGUUAUUUGUGUGAUUUGGGGGAAUCUGUUGAGGCAAAGGCUCUUCACUGCCAAUCCCACUGCCUUUGGGAUGGAAAGGGGUUGGUCUGGAGUCAGGUGGUGUCAGAGCCUCACUGGGGAAGUGCAUUGGGCUGUGUC
rnacentral:lncRNA from 1 species